ACUCCUACGGGAGGCAGCAGUGGGGAAUUUUGGACAAUGGGGGCAACCCUGAUCCAGCAAUGCCGCGUGAGUGAAGAAGGCCUUCGGGUUGUAAAGCUCUUUUGUCAGGGAAGAAACGGUGGUGGCGAAUAACUACUACUAAUGACGGUACCUGAAGAAUAAGCACCGGCUAACUACGUGCCAGCAGCCGCGGUAAUACGUAGGGUGCAAGCGUUAAUCGGAAUUACUGGGCGUAAAGCGUGCGCAGGCGGUUGUGUAAGUCAGAUGUGAAAUCCCCGGGCUCAACCUGGGAAUUGCAUUUGAGACUGCACGGCUAGAGUGUGUCAGAGGGGGGUAGAAUUCCACGUGUAGCAGUGAAAUGCGUAGAUAUGUGGAGGAAUACCGAUGGCGAAGGCAGCCCCCUGGGAUAACACUGACGCUCAUGCACGAAAGCGUGGGGAGCAAACAGGAUUAGAUACCCCAGUAGUCCCAUGA
rnacentral:rRNA from 1 species